rnacentral:rRNA from 1 species
UACGAAGGUGGCUAGCGUUGUUCGGAUUUAUUGGGCGUAAAGGGUCCGCAGGCGGUUUGAUAAGUCCGGUGUGAAAUCCCACAGCUUAACUGUGGACACGCAUUUGAUACUGUCAGACUAGAGUAUGAGAGGGGUGAGAGGAAUUUCCAGUGUAGGGGUGAAAUCCGUAGAUAUUGGAAAGAACACCGGCCGCGAAGGCGUUUCACUGGCUCAUUACUGACGCUCAGGGACGAAAGCUAGGGGAGCAAACGGG